AACUAAAUACCAUCCCAAUAAAAAAUGAACUGUGAACAUGACCCAGUUCAUUGUCAUGUGUAUGAACUGGACUUUGAACUGGUUGUUUUCAAGAGUGAACUGGUUCAACAAGGAGGAGGAGCAUGAGAACAGGGAAGUGUCAGACUCCAUUUUCACUGGGAUGAGCAGAAGGAAGAAAAGUGAGCAGACUGAAGAUGAGUGGUUAUGAGGAGGAAGUGGAGGACAGAGCAGAGUCUCCAGUGUUCAGCUGUGUGUCUCUGAAGAGUGACCGGUCCAUGGAACAUCCUAUAAACUUCAGUAAAGAACCUGGACCCUCACACACAGAAGAGAGGAAGAGGAGUCAUGUUUCUGAGGAGGAGCAGUCGUCCUGCUGUGCUUCGUGUCAG